UAGCACUGGUUCUCAUAUGAUCACCAAAGUUAAGCAAAAUUGAGCCUGGUCAGUAUCGAGAUAGGUGACUGCUUGGGAAUACUAAGUCCUGUAAG